rnacentral:siRNA from 1 species
UAGAUCCACGAAAGACGACACUU